CUACACUUUUGAGUGUGAGAUUUCUUUUUUGAACCUAUUGACUCUCUCAUGGUUUUGCCUUCUUAUUAUUUAAAAACUUUAAUUGUGUAUUCUUCAGUGAAAAUUGUCAACACGUGAGAGUCCUGUGCUUGACCUAGGUUGUAGAGGCAGCAAUUUUUUACCCAAGUUUAUUUCUGUCAUAUUCCUACGGGUUUAAUUGGUUCUGGUUAUUCCUUUGUUUGCUUCUUGACACAGGUUUCUUUACCUUAGGAGUAAGUGUGAGUUUGGGUUCCACACUUUUUGUACAGGGUGGAUAUUCUUUUUCAUCUCAUGGCCCAGAGCAUGUGGCCUGUAUCUGUGUUACAUUUCCAUGCCAGAGGGCAGAUUUUGUUUUUCUAUUUCACUAACUCUAGCUCUCUUUUCAUGGAAGAGACAACUCCUUUGUUUUUUUUUUUUUUAAAGAUUUUAUUUUUUCCUUUUUCUCCCCAAAGCCCCCCAGUACAUAGUUGUAUAUUUCUCGUUGUGGGUUCUUCUAGUUGUGGUAUGUGGGACGCCGCCUCAGCGUGGUCUGACGAGCAGUGCCAUGUCCGCGCCCAGGAUUCGAACCAACGAAACACUGGGACGCCUGCAGCGGAGCGCGCGAACUUAACCACUCGGCCACGGGGCCAGCCCCGAGACAACUCCUUUCUGGUUCCUGGAUUUGUGGAUAAACUCUGGCUUCUAAGUUCUCGCUUCUUCCCUUGUACAAGCCACAAGAAUUCUGGUGAGUUCCAGGUGAUUAGGAAGAGACCACAGAAAACACGUGUAUGUGUGUGCAAACACACGCAAACACAUAUAGUAUGAGUAAAUGAAGUUUCCGGCUUAACUAGGUAAAGAUGUAAAUUCGUAUUGGAAGUACUAAGUUCACAUAGAGCAGGAAUUCAUGGGACAAAUCUCAUUUGAGCUUCCCUUGAUUUACAGAGCAAAGACAGUGACUUGUACCUGCCAGAUCUGAGGUGCUCAGUUCUCAUCACUUUAUGCUCACCAUUUGGAGUGCUUUAUACCAACACACUAGGUAUGUCUAUUUCAGGGAGAGUUUAAAAACACUGGAUUUUCCUUGUUUUUGCACCAAGCUCAGUGUUAGCAAGGCCACAUGCUCACUUGAGGAGAUAUAAGAAUCUGCACACAGAUGUUUUGAAUAAUUUCUCAGCCUUCAGCUUGCUGCUGUCCUGGACAGCCUGUUUCUCCACAGGUCACCUUUUAUUCUGAUUUUAUUCUGAUUUAUCUGGAUAACUCUGAUAAUUAAUCUGAUCUAAAUCCAUUAUUCUAAAGUAGAAUUCAAACGGCAAGCAUUUAUUGAGCAUUGACUAUCUCCCAGCCAGAAUGUAGCUGCUGCGGAAGUAGUGGACUCAGACAUCGUCCUUGUCUCAGGUGGAGUUCACGGCCUGCAUCUGCAGCAAGUUUGCAUGCUUUUUCCUCUGGAACCUCCAGGCUUCAUCAGGCCAUGAUGAGUCAGAUGCAUUUAGACGUGAUCCGGUGUGUUGGCAUGCAGAAAGUGGGUGAUUGGGCCGACAGACGUAUCCGUUGAAGCAGUACUAAGGAGCUUCUAUGCUACAAACACAGGACUUCUGAUAAAAUUCUGAUGUAAUUUUCAUAAAGAAAUAAAGUAUGUGACACAUUUAUGGUUUACAUGCUGCAUUAUUGAGUACAUUCUUUACCUGAUCAGAGAGAACUCACAUUUUGUCUUGGCAUUGAUGAGAAGCGAAUCUUUCACCUAUAACUUUACAUGUUUGGGGAUUGGAAAACUAUCUAAAAGCUAGUUUCUGGUCAUUCACUUCUUUCUCUCUUUUUCCUGCUCUGCUACCCACAUACUUCUGGUCCUAGGCCUUCAAAAACAUGUUCAUGUCAUGGUACCACCUCUGGAUCUGUCAGUAGUUGGUAGGAGGACUUCUGGGAGCCAUCGUACGGAUUGCAAUAACUUAACCGUACACAGAAAUCAUGACAAAUCCGAAAACUGUGCUCCAGUAAAUCUAAACUAAAUGUGUCUCCAAAUAAUUUCCCCUUGGCUGGAUCUCAAAAAUAUCUUUGGCUACUCUCUUGUCAUCCAAAAUCAGAGGAUAGAAAUGGAGUAGAAGGAGACAGAUUUCUUAACAAAAUUCAGCUAAAAUAUUUAAUUUUACAAGAUUUUGCAAAACCACAUAACCUUCAGGGUCAUGGAAGGGGCGGAUAAAAGUGAGGUAUGCUGAAGUUUCAAUAGUUUUACAGCAGACCUGACUCUAGGCAGUGCUAAAAUUUUAAAGAUGUAGAUUUUGCAUCUGGAGUUGAAAUCCUUGACUCUCCCUUGUUGGAUAAAAGUGUAAAAGCAGACGAAUGACUGAG
rnacentral:lncRNA from 1 species